rnacentral:lncRNA from 12 species
GCCACUCAGGGCUGGAGGGAUGUGGAUGGGGUACUGAUAGGGUUGGCUGCUGUGUUCUUUCCUGAUACAUCCAGAGGCAGCUCUCCACCAGACCUCCAGGCAGCGACCACUGCUCAACUGGAAUUGGAUACGCCUUGUAUAUGUAUUAGAGCACCUGUGUUCCAGGAAAUCACUUACACAUGCAGAGCUAAUAAAAAUUCCACAUAUGCACCGCUGGCCAAACCAUCAUGGAAGUCCUCUUCUUGCAGCACUCUAAGCAAGAAAAUUAUACCACCCUAGUAAAAGCCAUGGAAAUAUUUCUCUAGAAGUACUUUCUCAUUCUCGGUGAGAGUUUACACACUUGAGUAGCACCUAUUAAUUCACAUGGCACUAAUUGGGAAGAUGCAGUGGUGAGGACUUUGAAAGAAGGGUAUGUACAACAUAAUAUAUGAGGUGUAUAGACCUCUAUCAAGCCCUGUACAGACCUCUAUCAAACCCUGUGUUUACCCGAUCUGUUCACUUUUAUGAGUUAGCAACCUGGUAGCCAUCAGUCCCAGGGCCAUGGUAUGCCUUUGGGAAUAUAAGACCAAGGAGGGUUGAAAGACAAAACAAAAGCAACUGAUUUUGUCUGCUGAUUCAUCAUGUACUCAUCCAAGUGGGAUGAAUAAGGCAGAGGAUCCGGAGAUAUGCUUAAUUAGAAACAGACAAAGGGAUUCUUGUUAAUAUUUUUGCCUGGACAACCAGAGUUUCUGUUUGGACCAUUGCAUUCAGUAAUUGAGGCUCAAAGCUUUUUAUUUGAUGCAUUGAUUUUACCUGCUGAAGCAAGAAGGCUGGUUUUCAUCUUGUAGGCAUGUGAUGAGAUUACAAAAUAUACUUUCCAUGCGAGAAACGCAGUGAAAAGAACUGCAUUAACCCUCCUGAUUUCACAACAAAAAAGAACAUUGGGAUAAGACCUGCAGUUGAGGAUGGAUGCAUGUUACCACAGUGUGUGUGACUCCCCUAUCAGGAUGUGGGCCAGCCCCAGCUAGCUCCUCUUGCUUGCUUUUAGCCCUGUGCUCAACAUCACGUCUGACACCAGCUGGAUGAUUUCAGGCAAGUUCUAUAGAUUCGUUUUCAUAGUCUAUAAUUACCUCUCGGGGUCAUGGUGAGGAUUAAAUGAAAUAUUAUGUGCAAAGUGCUAAGAAGGGCAUCUAGUAUUUUAAUAAGUUCUCAAUAAUUUUGGCUAUCUUGAAAAAUCAUCUAUUA